rnacentral:rRNA from 1 species
AGUGAACGCUGGCGGUAGGCCUAACACAUGCAAGUCGAACGGCAGCACAGUAAGAGCUUGCUCUUACGGGUGGCGAGUGGCGGACGGGUGAGGAAUACAUCGGAAUCUACUUUUUCGUGGGGGAUAACGUAGGGAAACUUACGCUAAUACCGCAUACGACCUACGGGUGAAAGCAGGGGAUCUUCGGACCUUGCGCGAUUGGAUGAGCCGAUGUCGGAUUAGCUAGUUGGCGGGGUAAUGGCCCACCAAGGCGACGAUCCGUAGCUGGUCUGAGAGGAUGAUCAGCCACACUGGAACUGGGACACGGUCCAGACUCCUACGGGAGGCAGCAGUGGGGAAUAGUGGACAAUGGGCGCAAGCCUGAUCCAGCCAUACCGCGUGGGUGACGAAGGCCUUCGGGUUGUAAAGCCCUUUUGUUGGGAAAGAAAAGCAGCAGGUUAAUACCCCGCUGUUCUGACGGUACCCAAAGAAUAAGCACCGGCUAACUUCGUG